UACGAAGGGGGCUAGCGUUGUUCGGAAUUACUGGGCGUAAAGCGCACGUAGGCGGCUUUCUAAGUCGGGGGUGAAAUCCUGGAGCUCAACUCCAGAACUGCCUUCGAUACUGGAAAGCUCGAGUCCGGGAGAGGUGAGUGGAACUGCGAGUGUAGAGGUGAAAUUCGUAGAUAUUCGCAAGAACACCAGUGGCGAAGGCGGCUCACUGGCCCGGUACUGACGCUGAGGUGCGAAAGGCGUGGGGAGCAAACAGG
rnacentral:rRNA from 1 species